CUUGGUCAUUUAGAGGAAGUAAAAGUCGUAACAAGGUUUCCGUAGGUGAACCUGCGGAAGGAUCAUUAGUGAUAAAACUAUUAUCUUAACACCUGUGAACUGUGAACCGAAAGGUUCUUCCAAACAUUGUGUAAUGAACGUAAUACAUUAUAAACAAUACAACUUUCAACAACGGAUCUCUUGGCUCUCGCAUCGAUGAAGAACGCAGCGAAAUGCGAUAAGUAAUGUGAAUUGCAGAAUUCAGUGAAUCAUCGAAUCUUUGAACGCAACUUGCGCUCUCUGGUAUUCCGGAGAGCAUGCCUGUUUGAGUGUCAUGAUCUCUCAACCAAUAGAGUUUUCUAUUGGCUUGGAUCUGGGUGCUGCGAAACAAUCGCUCACCUUAAAGGAGUUAGCAACUAAGCGAUGUCGUCCGACGUAAUAAGUUUCGUCUGGUAAUUCGACUGAGCCGAAUUGCUUCUAAUUGUCUUUUGACUUUUUUGACUCUGGCCUCAAAUCAGGUAGGACUACCCGCUUGGCUUAAGCAUAUCAAUAAGCGGGAAGGA
rnacentral:rRNA from 1 species